rnacentral:rRNA from 1 species
CAGCCGCCACGGGAAUACGUAGGUGGCAAGCGUUGUCCGGAAUUAUUGGGCGUAAAGGGCUCGCAGGCGGUUUCUUAAGUCUGAUGUGAAAGCCCCCGGCUCAACCGGGGAGGGUCAUUGGAAACUGGGAAACUUGAGUGCAGAAGAGGAGAGUGGAAUUCCACGUGUAGCGGUGAAAUGCGUAGAGAUGUGGAGGAACACCAGUGGCGAAGGCGACUCUCUGGUCUGUAACUGACGCUGAGGAGCGAAAGCGUGGGGAGCGAACAGGAUUAGAUACCCGAGUAGUCCCUGUCUCUUAUAC